rnacentral:rRNA from 1 species
UCUGGUUGAUCCUGCCAGUAUAUAUCUGUCCAAAGAUUAAGCCAGCAUGUCAAGUACACACAAUUAAAAGUGAAACCGCAAAAGGCUCAUUAUAUCAGUUAUGUUCCUUAGAUCGUUAACAUACUUGGAUAACGUGGUAAUCUAGAGCUAAUACAUGCAAUAAAACAUGAACCUUAUGGACAUGCUUUUAUUAGGCUAAAACCAAGCGAUCGCAAGAUCGUUAUUGGUUGAACUCUAGAUAACAUCAGAUCGUAUGGUCUUGUACCGACGACAGAUCUUUCAAAUGUCUGCCCUAUCAACUUUGAUGGUAGUAUCAGGACUACCAUGGUUGCAACGGUAACGGGAAUCAGGUUCGAUCCGGAGAGGGAGCCUGAGAAACGGCUACCACAUCUAAGGAAGCAGCAGCGCGUAAAUUACCCACUCCCAGCUCGGGAGGUAGUGACGAAAAAUAACAAUACAGACUCAUAUCCGAGCCCUGUAAUUGAAUGAUACACUUAAAUCCUUAACAAGGACCAAUUGAGGGCAAGUCUGGUGCCAGCAGCCGCGGUAAUCCAGCUCCAAUAGCGUAUAUUAAAGUUUGCGGUUAAAACGUUCGUAGUGAACUGUGCUCAUACGGUAGUACAACUUACAAUGUGGUUAGUACUAUACCUUAGUAUUAAGCGUAUACCGGGGAGUUCUAUAUAUGUUAAAUACUGUAUUUUUCAUAUGUCCUCCUAUUAAAAACCUGCAUAGUGCUCUUAAACGAGUGUAUUGGGGCCGGUACAAUACUUGAACAAAUUAGAGUGCUUAAAGCAGGCUUCAAAUCCUGAAUAUUCUGUGCAUGGAUAAUGAAAUAAGACCUCUGUUCUGCUUCAUGUUUUCAGAUCAAGAGGUAAUGAUAAUAGAAGCAGUUUGGGGCAUUAGUAUUACGACGCGAGAGGUGAAAUUCUGGACCGUCGUAAGACUAACUUAACGAAAGCAUUGCCAAAGAUGUUUCAUUAAUCAAGAACGAAAGUUAGAGUCGAAGGCGAUCAGAUACCGCCCUAUUCUAACCAUAAACGAUGCCAGCUAGCAAUGGGUGUAGCUACUUUAUGGCUCUCUCAGUCGCUUCCGGAAACCAAACUUUGGGCUCCGGGGGAAGUAUGUUGCAAAGCUGAAACUUAAAGGAAUUGACGGAAGGCACCACCAGGAGUGGAGCCUGCGGCUUAAUUGACCAACACGGGAAAACUUACCAGGUCCGAACAUAAGUGUGAAGACAGAUGAUAGCUCUUCCGAAUCUAUGGGUGGUGUGCAUGCCGUUCUAGUUCGUGGAGUGAUUUGCUGGUUAAUUCCGAUAACGAACGAGACUCAAAUAUAUUAAAUAGAUAUCUUCAGGAUUAUGGUGCUGAAGCUUAUAUACCUUCAUUCAUAGUGCAGUAAAAUGUAUAUUGUUUUGAAUGUGUUAUAUAAGUGGAGCCGUACCUGUGGUUUGUCCCAUUAAAGGACACUAGCUUCUAAAUGGACAAAUUGCGUCUAGCAAUAAUGAGAUUGAGCAAUAACAGGUCUGUGAUGCCCUUAGAUGUCCUGGGCUGCACGCGCGCUACAAUGAAAGUAUCAACGUGUAUUCCUAGACCGAGAGUCCGGGUAAACCGCUGAACCACUUUCAUGCUUGGGAUUGGUGAACUGAAACUGUCACAUGAACUUGAAUCCCAGUAAGUGUGAGUCAUUAACUCGCAUUGAUACGUCCCUGCCCUUGUACACACCGCCCGUCGCUACUACCGAUUGAAUUAUUAGUGAGGUCUCCGGACGUGAUCACUGUGACGCCUCGCGUGUUACGGUUGUUUCGCAAAAGUUGACCGAACUGAUUAUUAGAGAAGUAAAAGUCGUAACAAGGUUUCCGUAGGUGAACCUGCGGAAG